rnacentral:rRNA from 1 species
UGAGGAAUAUUGGUCAAUGGGUGCGAGCCUGAACCAGCCAUCCCGCGUGAAGGACGACUGCCCUAUGGGUUGUAAACUUCUUUUGUAUAGGGAUAAACCUACCCUCGUGAGGGUAGCUGAAGGUACUAUACGAAUAAGCACCGGCUAACUCCGUGCCAGCAGCCGCGGUAAUACGGAGGGUGCAAGCGUUAUCCGGAUUUAUUGGGUUUAAAGGGUGCGCAGGCGGGAUGUUAAGUCGGCGGUGAAAUUUUGCAGCUCAACUGUAAAAGUGCCUUCGAUACUGGCCUCCUUGAGUGUGGAUGAAGUAGGCGGAAUUUGUGGUGUAGCGGUGAAAUGCUUAGAUAUCACGAGGAACUCCGAUUGCGCAGGCAGCUUACUAGGCCACAACUGACGCUCAUGCACGAAGGCGUGGGGAUCAAACA